GACCUAUUAGCUCAGCUGGUUAGAACGUCGUGCUAAUAACGCGAAGGUUGCAGGUUCGAGACCUGCAUGGGCCA